rnacentral:rRNA from 1 species
UACGGAGGAUGCGAGCGUUAUCCGGAUUUAUUGGGUUUAAAGGGUGCGCAGGCGGCGUGUCAAGUCAGCGGUAAAAUGUCGGGGCUCAACCCCGGCCGGCCGUUGAAACUGGCGUGCUCGAGUUGGAGAGAAGUAUGCGGAAUUCGUGGUGUAGCGGUGAAAUGCAUAGAUAUCACGAAGAACCCCGAUUGCGAAGGCAGCAUACCGGCUCCACACUGACGCUGAGGCACGAAAGCGUGGGGAUCAAACAGG